rnacentral:rRNA from 1 species
UACGUAGGGGGCGAGCGUUGUCCGAAGUUACUGGGCGUAAAGCGCGCGUAGGCGGUCUUUUAAGUCUGGUGUGAAAGGUUCAGGGCUCAACCCGAAGAGUGCACUGGAGACUGGAAGACUUGAGUUUGGGGAGAGGAGAGUGGAAUUCCUGGUGUAGCGGUGAAAUGCGUAGAUAUCAGGAGGAACACCGAUGGCGAAGGCAGCUCUCUGGCCCAAAACUGACGCUGAGGUGCGAAAGCGUGGGGAGCGAACGGG